rnacentral:rRNA from 1 species
CCUACGGGUGGCAGCAGUGAGGAAUAUUGGUCAAUGGACGAGAGUCUGAACCAGCCAAGUAGCGUGAAGGAUGACUGCCCUAUGGGUUGUAAACUUCUUUUAUAUGGGAAUAAAACGUUCCACGUGUGGGAUUUUGUAUGUACCAUAUGAAUAAGGAUCGGCUAACUCCGUGCCAGCAGCCGCGGUAAUACGGAGGAUCCGAGCGUUAUCCGGAUUUAUUGGGUUUAAAGGGAGCGUAGGUGGAUGGUUAAGUCAGUUGUGAAAGUUUGCGGCUCAACCGUAAAAUUGCAGUUGAAACUGGCAGUCUUGAGUACAGUAGAGGUGGGCGGAAUUCGUGGUGUAGCGGUGAAAUGCUUAGAUAUCACGAAGAACUCCGAUUGCGAAGGCAGUUCACUGGACUGCAACUGACACUGAGGCUCGAAAGUGUGGGUAUCAAACAGGAUUAGAUACCCUAGUAGUC